GGGGAUUUAGCUCAGUGGUAGAGCGCUUACCUAGGAAGCGCAAGGCCCUGGGUUCGAUUCCCAGCUCCG
rfam:Rattus norvegicus chromosome 3, whole genome shotgun sequence.